GUAUGUGGCUCAGGGGUAAGGUGAUUUUUUAGCAUGCAAAAGACCCUGGGUUCAAUCCCCAGCACUGCA
rnacentral:tRNA from 1 species